UACGGAAGAUCCAAGCGUUAUCCGGAAUUACUGGGCGUAAAGAGUUGCGUAGGUGGCAAAGUAAGUCAGUAGUGAAAUUGUGUGGCUCAACCAUACACCCAUUGCUGAAACUGCUUAGCUUGAGAAUGAGAGAGGUUAUUGGAAUUCCCAGUGUAGGAGUGAAAUCCGUAGAUAUUGGGAGGAACACCGAUGGCGUAGGCAGAUAACUGGCUCAUUUCUGACACUAAGGCACGAAAGCGUGGGGAGCAAACGGG
rnacentral:rRNA from 1 species